rnacentral:rRNA from 1 species
GCGCACCAGGCGCGAAACCUCCGCAAUACACGAAAGUGUGACGGGGCCAUCCCGAGUGCCGUCCGCUGAGGACGGCUUUUCCCCAGUGUACACAGCUGGGGGAAUAAGGAGAGGGCAAGCCUGGUGUCAGCCGCCGCGGUAAUACCAGCUCUCCGAGUGGUGGGGACGCUUAUUGGGCCUAAAGCAUCCGUAGCCGGCUGGGCAAGUCCUCCGUUAAAUCCAACGAUUCAAUCGUUGGGCUGCGGGGGAUACUGUCCAGCUUGGGGGCGGGAGAGGCCGACGGUAUUCCCGGGGUAGGGGUGAAAUCUUAUAAUCCCGGGAGGACCACCAGUGGCGGAGGCUGUCGGCUAGAACGCGCCCGACGGUGAGGGAUGAAAGCUGGGGGAGCGAACCGGAUUAGAUACCCCUGUAGU